UAGGGAAUCUUCCACAAUGGACGAAAGUCUGAUGGAGCAACGCCGCGUGAGUGAAGAAGGUUUUCGGAUCGUAAAGCUCUGUUGUUGGUGAAGAAGGAUAGAGGCAGUAACUGGUCUUUAUUUGACGGUAAUCAACCAGAAAGUCACGGCUAACUACGUGCCAGCAGCCGCGGUAAUACGUAGGUGGCAAGUGUUGUCCGGAUUUAUUGGGCGUAAAGCGAGCGCAGGCGGAAUGAUAAGUCUGAUGUGAAAACCCACGGCUCAACCGUGGAACUGCAUCGGAAACUGUCAUUCUUGAGUGCAGAAGAGGAGAGUGGAACUCCAUGUGUAGCGGUGGAAUGCGUAGAUAUAUGGAAGAACACCAGUGGCGAAGGCGGCUCUCUGGUUUGCAACUGACGCUGAGGCUCGAAAGCAUGGGUAGCGAACAGGAUUAGAUACCCUGGUAGUCCAUGCCGUAAACGAUGAGCGCUAGGUGUUGGGGACUUUCCGGUCCUCAGUGCCGCAGCAAACGCAUUAAGCGCUCCGCCUGGGGAGUACGACCGCAAGGUUGAAAC
rnacentral:rRNA from 1 species